UAGCCUGGAUUCUGAUGACAGCUCAUAUGGCAUCCCUGAUCUGCCCUAUGAUACACCAUCUGAGGACGGAUCCUCAAAGGAGAUCCCUGACUGGAGGCUUCCAGUGGUCCCCACCAAUACACCAUCUAGCUCCUACAGGGUGGAGAGCCCUGUGUGGAAGGACCCUGUCCUAAUUUUUGACCCUGAUCUGCCCCCUGAGACACCUAAGUGGGCGUGGGAGAGGU